CAUGUACUCCCUCCGUCUCAAAAUUCUUGUCUUAAAUUUGUUUAAAUAUGGAUGUAUCUAACACUAAAUUUUUGUCUUAAAUUUAGAUACAUACGGAUGUAUCUAGUUACAUUUUAGUGUUAGAUACAUCCGUAUUUAGACAAAUUUAAGACAAGAAUUUUGGGACGGAGGGAGUACUUC
rfam:Triticum aestivum genome assembly, contig: Triticum_aestivum_CS42_TGACv1_scaffold_195786_3AL